UUAAGGCUGAGACACGACGUCGAGCUACUACGGUAGUGAAGUCAUUGAUGCCAUGCUUCCAGGAAAAGCCUCUAAGCUUCAGAUUGUAAGGAAUCGUACCCCAAACCGACACAGGUGGUCGGGUAGAGAAUACCAAGGCGCUUGAGAGAACUCGGGUGAAGGAACUAGGCAAAAUGGUACCGUAACUUCGGGAGAAGGUACGCUCUCGACGGUGAAGUCCCUCGCGGAUGGAGCUAUUGAGAGUCGCAGAUACCAGGUGGCUGCAACUGUUUAUUAAAAACACAGCACUGUGCAAAAUCGCAAGAUGACGUAUACGGUGUGACGCCUGCCCGGUGCCGGAAGGUUAAUUGAUGGGGUUAGACUUCGGUCGAAGCUCUUGAUCGAAGCCCCGGUAAACGGCGGCCGUAACUAUAACGGUCCUAAGGUAGCGAAAUUCCUUGUCGGGUAAGUUCCGACCUGCACGAAUGGCGUAAUGAUGGCCACGCUGUCUCCACCCGAGACUCAGUGAAAUUGAAAUCGCUGUGAAGAUGCAGUGUACCCGCGGCUAGACGGAAAGACCCCGUGAACCUUUACUACAGCUUGGCACUGAACAUUGACCCUACAUGUGUAGGAUAGGUGGGAGGCUUUGAAGCGCAGUCGCUAGAUUGCGUGGAGCCGUCCUUGAAAUACCACCCUUGUAGUGUUGAUGUUCUAACGUCGACCCCUUAUCGGGGUUGCGGACAGUGCCUGGUGGGUAGUUUGACUGGGGCGGUCUCCUCCCAAAGCGUAACGGAGGAGCACGAAGGUGGGCUAAUCACGGUUGGACAUCGUGAGGUUAGUGCAAUGGCAUAAGCCCGCUUGACUGCGAGAAUGACAAUUCGAGCAGGUGCGAAAGCAGGUCAUAGUGAUCCGGUGGUUCUGAAUGGAAGGGCCAUCGCUCAACGGAUAAAAGGUACUCCGGGGAUAACAGGCUGAUACCGCCCAAGAGUUCAUAUCGACGGCGGUGUUUGGCACCUCGAUGUCGGCUCAUCACAUCCUGGGGCUGAAGUCGGUCCCAAGGGUAUGGCUGUUCGCCAUUUAAAGUGGUACGCGAGCUGGGUUUAGAACGUCGUGAGACAGUUCGGUCCCUAUCUGCCGUGGGCGUUGGAGAAUUGAAAGGGGCUGCUCCUAGUACGAGAGGACCGGAGUGGACGAACCUCUGGUGUUCGGGUUGUGUCGCCAGACGCAUUGCCCGGUAGCUAAGUUCGGGAUCGAUAACCGCUGAAAGCAUCUAAGCGGGAAGCGAGCCUUGAGAUGAGUUCUCCCUGAUACUUUAAGUAUCCUAAAGGGUUGUCGUAGACUACGACGUUGAUAGGCAGGGUGUGUAAGCGUUGUGAGGCGUUGAGCUAACCUGUACUAAUUGCCCGUGAGGCUUAACCAUACAACACCCAAGGGGUUU
rnacentral:rRNA from 1 species